ensembl:miRNA
UAUUCUGUUCACGUUGACAGCAACUGUGAGCACUCUGCUUAAUAAUGACUAGCAAGUGCUUGCUGUUGUUGUGAACGUGAAUCAGUCCC